CACCAAGAAGCUACAUUAGCACUAACCUUUUAAGUUAGAGAUUGAGAGCACCAAACUCUCCUCGGUGA
rnacentral:tRNA from 1 species